UAAAGUAUAAUUCGGAACAGCAACACAAAACCCCAACUCCAUUCAUUCAUUCAUCAGUGCGGGCGUCGAUCAUCAAAACUCAAAGGCAGGAACAGAUCGUUUUGAACAAUCGGCUGCAUAAACAUAAUAAACAUGGUUUGGGGCCUUUUCCCCGUCGACCCUCUUCCAGGGGAAGAAAGUUAUUAUUUCUUUUGCAAAGGGACGUAUAAAGUCGGACGUAAAGGAUGUGAUAUAAUUGUUAACAAAGAUAAAGGAGUUUCGCGAGUCCAUGCAGAAAUGGUCUUUGAUGAGAUGGUUUCCAUUGACAAUACGAAAAAGAAAUCAUGUGGAAUUAGGAUAAGGGAUUGCUCAAAGUACGGAACUUUUGUUAAGAAGCCAGUUGGGUCAAAAGAAAAAGUUCAUGAAUUUCCAAAUAAGGAGAUGAUAUUGGAUGAUGAAGACCUUAUUUCAUUUGGAACUGGUAAUGCUACUUACAGGUUUACUUACGUUCCACUUGUGUUUUUUAUUUGUGGCUUGGAACCUGUCCAAAUAAAAGAAGUUCAAGUGAAGAUAUUAUCCAUAGGUACUUGUAUGACUACAAAAUGGGGCCCAAACUGCACUCAUGUUCUUCUUGGUGAUAAUGUGUCACUAAAUGCUGAUGUAGUUGAUGCUGUAAUGUCCAGAAAGCAUUUUAUCAGUUAUAAAUGGAUUGAGAUACUUGCAGAUAAACGUAUUGGCACUCAAAUUCCCAGCUGCAGUUCCUAUGCUCCUACCUUGACUUUGCAAGAAGUCUCUGUUAAAGUUUCGGAGCCUGAGUCUCGAGAAAAUUGUUUAAGUGGGUACACUUUUCUGCUGGAGUCAUCAGACAAGUAUAAAGCUAAGAAAAAGUUGCAGCCGUUACUAGAAUCAUUUGGUGCAAAAGUUGAUCCUGCUGGAGAAUACAUACCCCACAGCCAGGGUUUGGAGGAUGAUGAAAAUACAGUUGUGCAUGUAAUCUCUGCUGGAGAGGGAUAUCGGCCUGAGUAUUCCCAUAACCUUAGCUCUGUACCUAAAGUGACUGAAGUAAACUUGAUUUGUGCUACUUUAUCUGGGCGUAUAGAUCCUGCUGUUUUUGUAUCACCGCCUGUACUAGUCACAUCUUCAUGCUCCACAGAUGAGACAGUGGUAGCAGAUUCUGAACCAGAAGUUGAAAUCACAUCCAUGAAUACAUCUUCUGCAAUUCACAAAACAGAGCCCAUUUGUUUAGAAUCCAUUAAACAUGACAGUGAAGGGGAAACAGCUUCUCAUAUAAUAAAUACAACAAAGUUCGAUGAUCAAGGAAACACAACUACUUAUGAUACCAUAUUAAAAUCGAAAGAGAGUCAAAGAGAUGAUAAAAGCUUGAUCCAAGUACGCAAGACUGAUGAUGCGGACCUUGGGACCUCAACUAUAAUUUUCAGCCAAGAUUUAAUCAUCCGGGAUACCAAUUUACUAUCCUCUGUGCCUUCUCAAACAAAUAAUCUAGUUUUGAACUUCAAACGUUUCAGAAAAAUGGGGACUGAAUCAGGAAAUAGUCUUCACAAUAUUGUACCUUUUUCAAAGCAUCCAUACAAGGGUUCUGAGUACGAGAAUGAGGAAGUAGCAGAGUCUUUGAAGGAAGAAAAGAAGCGUAAACAGAGGGAGGCUGUUGCAGAGGAUCUAUUUAAUAAAACUAAGGCAAAGCAACGUGGAGCAGCCGGUUUUCUCUCCGGCCUUUUUACCGGAAGAUGAUGUAGACAGAUAACGUCGGGUAGCCAAAGCUUUUCAAAGUCCAAUGGAAAAACCAGCGGCCCGAAGGCAAUAAAUAAAACAAGGGAAUAAAGGAGAUACAGAGAAGAAGAAAAGAUUGUGAAACUUGAAAAGAUGAAAUCGAAGAAGAGAGAAAAGGACAGAUGUCAUAUUGUGAUUAAUGGUACUUUCAUUCUUGUGAUUAGCCACUGUAUAAUACCGCGUAAAGCGUGAUUUCAUGUUAAGAAUUAUGGCUGAUUAAUUAUGUUUCAUUUGGGGCCUUAAACGAUGUUUUGGACUUUUGGUAAGCGAUUAUUUUGUUAGUGAUUUUAGUUCCAAA